rnacentral:SRP_RNA from 1 species
UUUUGUCCUUUUUGAUCUUGCUUUGGUGAAGUGGGUCAGGACAGGAAUGUAGCAGCCCUAAGUUAAAGUUUGGAUGCUUAAAGGGUCGCAGAACUG